ensembl:lncRNA
GUGAAUAAGGAGGAGGAGGACGGUGGAAGGAUGGGUGAAAUGGCUUUGGGAAACGCUCAGAAGUCCUGAGUGUGUGUUUCCAAGAGUUGCUCCCCCCUCUCGACCACCACCUCUCAUUUCUGGUGGUUACCUUUUGGAGGAGUCUUGAAUGUGCCUUGAUGAGCGUGGAGUUUCUAGAUCGGACCUCAAGCCGUCGCAGCGUUGUGCUCUGAGAAACUCUGGAGGAAUGUUUCUGGUGCUGGCUAGUCUGAGUUCUCCUGUGAGCCUCUUUAGCCCCGUCUCAGCUCCAGAAAGAAAGAUGUUGCAAGAUAUCUGCGAGUGACUUUUCUACUCUUUGCUGUAAACUUAUUUUUUUGAUCCAAACCUGAUGAUGAUAAUGAUGAUGAUACUGUGUUUCCAAUGUGUUUUUCCUUCUCUUUGCUUUCCCAAACAUGAACCCCCUCUCCCCUUUGUGUAAGGGCUUGUAGAUAAAUAUAUGUUGACAUGAAGAAGAAUCGCUGUCGUGGCGCAAUCUCGAUAUGUUUGGGAAAUCAAGGAAGCCUCGUUUUCAGCAAACGGCAUGUGAAACAGUCGGUGAGAUGAUCCAUUUAUAGCGCUGAGCUGCUAAGCGGCUUCCACGGGAAAACCUCAACGGGCAUCGCUCGCGUUCGGCGUGAAGGUGAGGCGAUCAGGUAGAGAGAAGAAACUCACUUUCCGUCAGCCGGAAUUCUAUCAUUGGAUUUUUAAUCAUUCGGAAUGUAAAUUCGCUAAACAGUCCAGACGGCGUUCAGUCUUUGUUUUCAGGGUAUUUGUGCCGCAGCUUCCUCAGUUUGAACUCGAAUAUGCAACAGAGAGCUCGGCCCUCUCUCCAAACUGGAUCACCUCACUGGCUGUUUUAUUUUGAUUACAAUCAUGUAGACCUCAAGAACUCAAUGACUGUCGCACUGGAUUUUUACACUCCUUUUUCAAACAUUAUAUACAUCUAUAUAUAUCUAUAUAUAGAUAUAUAUAUAUAUACACACUGCUCUGGUCUAACUGUAUUUUUAAUACUGCAUGUGCAUGCAAAUAAGGAAAUUAUGGGAAAACAUGACUUUAUAUAAAUGUGCUCUACUUGUGCUGUGGCGUCCAGGACGGGGACUCGAGAGCAGCCAGUGCAGUCCUCGGUAGCUAAACUGCGUCACAGUUUAGCUUAAAAAUAAAAUCCCCUGCUUUUGUUUGCAAAUCUCUUUAAAAGUACCCGAUUCCUCAGCUGGUUGGAUGCUGAGGACGAAUUCUUUGUCGUCCCUCCUCCUGCAUGCACCGCCCUUGGGAAGCUGGAUUGAAAAGACACCCAAAGCUUUGAAAAGGCCGAUGUUUUCCAUGUGUGGACAUCAGUCACAGGAGGCCUGAAUCAUGUGGUGCUUGAUUGAAUCAAUUGUUUACACCACACACGGUACAAAAUGAUUUGAGAGGUCUAACCGCGAGUUCCCUAAAACACGGUGAUUAUUUAAAACAUAAUUUCCCCGAUUUUAAGAUGUUUAAGUAACUUUGCAAGGGGGACUUUGUUUGGCGGCGGCUGCUCUCCGCCCUGACAUGGUCGCCACGGUAUGUUGCGUUUUUCUAUCCUUUUGAAGCCUCUAAAUGUAAAUGUUUGAUAUGUGUUUCCAGACUGUAAACUAGAUGCAACACA